rnacentral:lncRNA from 1 species
AUUUCUCUCCUAGGGUUUCUAUCUCCAGUGUUGCUUCACUUUGGGGUUUCUUUAUUGUGUCUACUUCCCUUUUUAGGUCUAGUAUUGUUUUGUUCAUUUCCAUCACCUGUUUGGAUGUGUUUUCCUGUUUUUCUUUAAGGACUUGUAACUCUUUAGCAGUGUUCUCCUGUAUUUCUUUAAGUCUUGUGCAAUUGGAAUGGAACAGAAGUUGUUUUCCACUCACUGGUGGUCCUAAGAUCAAGUUGGAGAGUCCUCUAGGGACCUUGGGGGAGUCUGCAGACUCCGUGCCCAAGGUGACCUGGUGCUGGCACUGACCGGAAGGGACUUGUGAUCCUGGAAAGUACAAAGGAAAGGAAAGUGAUCUUGAAUUGUCAAAAUGGAAAUAUAUAAUAGUGCUGAGUAGUGCUCAGAUUCACCGGGAAUAAGAGGGAGAACUGAUAUCUGCUAUUGGUUGGAUGAAGAUUUUUUUGUUUGGAAUUACAAUGCUGCCCACAUGUAAUAUUGGCAAAGGAAUAUGCACAGGUCAGUUAGCUGAGCCAAAGGAACCCAGAUUCACUGAGGACACAUUCCUUUGCCAUUAUUGCCUAUAGACGAGUGAUAGAGAUGUACCAGUUACAGCAUACCCUUCUGGGAACAAAGUAUUCUUCAACAAAGUACCCGGUAUUCUAUAGACUCGAGGUUGUUUGUACCAUGAAGUCAACCUGAAAGAGCACUCAGCUGUUAGCAACUAAGCAACAGAAGACAAGCAGACACAAAACCUUUCUUCAAACUUGGGAUACAAGUCUUGAGUACCAUCCAUUAUAAUGCAGUAAGCCUUGCUUUCAUACAUCAUUAAAGGAAAUUCAAGUUGCUAUGGAAAUCUG